UGGGGAAUAUUGGACAAUGGGCGCAAGCCUGAUCCAGCCAUGCCGCGUGAGUGAUGAAGGCCUUAGGGUUGUAAAACUCUUUCAGUAGGGGAAGAUAAUGACGGUACCUACAGAAGAAGUUCCGGCUAACUCCGUGCCAGCAGCCGCGGUAAUACGGAGGGAACUAGCGUUGUUCGGAAUUACUGGGCGUAAAGCGUGCGUAGGCGGCUUUGCAAGUAGAGGGUGAAAUCCCAGAGCUCAACUCUGGAACUGCCCCCUAAACUGCAGAGCUAGAAUCCUGGAGAGGUGAGUGGAAUUCCUAGUGUAGAGGUGAAAUUCGUAGAUAUUUGGAGGAACACCAGUGGCGAAGGCGGCUCACUGGCUCGAUACUGACGCUGAGGUGCGAAAGUGUGGGGAGCAAACAGGAUUAGAUACCCUGGUAGUCCACACCGUAAACGAUGAAUGCCAGUCGUCGGGUAGCAUGCUAUUCGGUGACACACCUAACGGAUUAAGCAUUCCGCCU
rnacentral:rRNA from 1 species